rnacentral:rRNA from 1 species
UACGGAGGGGACUAGCGUUGUUCGGAAUUACUGGGCGUAAAGCGCACGUAGGCGGAUUUGUAAGUCAGGGGUGAAAUCCCGAGGCUCAACCUCGGAACUGCCUUUGAUACUGCAAAUCUCGAGUCCGGAAGAGGUGAGUGGAAUUCCUAGUGUAGAGGUGAAAUUCGUAGAUAUUAGGAAGAACACCAGUGGCGAAGGCGGCUCACUGGUCCGGUACUGACGCUGAGGUGCGAAAGCGUGGGGGGCAAACAGG